CAUAACCACAGAUUAGUUGGCUGGCAUUUGGAGUUUACCCCAUUUUCCACGUGGCUGUGAGUUAGACACCCUACCUCUCUAGGCUGCUUCAGUCUCUUUCACUGUGUGGUGGGGAUGGUGGUAACUAACAGCUGCUGCAGAGUGUGCUGGAUGAUUCAUGUUCGAGACAAGCUGGAUGCCUGGGUUUCAAGACCAAAGUCAUUAACUUGGAUUUAUUGGCCAAACUUGAGUUCUUCCCUGGAAGAUUUUUAGUGGCAAUGCAGAGGAGUGGUGUCCCUAUCUCAGGGAGAUCCAUCAGAGCGAUUACGGGGCCCUUUGCCACCCGAGCCUCUUGUCUAGAAGAUGCUUCCUUCCUCAGACUCUUCAUGAUACAUUGGAAGACAGACUCUACCUCAAGCAAUUAUUGGGUGAUCAAGAAGUAAACUAUAAGAUGAA
rnacentral:lncRNA from 12 species